UACGAAGGGGGCAAGCGUUGUUCGGAAUUACUGGGCGUAAAGGGCGCGCAGGCGGCCGAUCAAGUCAGAUGUGAAAGCCCCGGGCUCAACCUGGGAAUAGCAUUUGGGACUGGUCGGCUAGAGUUCGGGAGAGGAGAGUGGAAUUCCCAGUGUAGAGGUGAAAUUCGUAGAUAUUGGGAAGAACACCGGUGGCGAAGGCGGCUCUCUGGACCGGCAUUGACGCUGAGUGAGCGAAAGCCAGGGGAGCAAACGGG
rnacentral:rRNA from 1 species